CAGCCGCCGCGGGAAUACGUAGGGUGCAAGCGUUAAUCGGAAUUACUGGGCGUAAAGCGUGCGCAGGCGGUUUGUUAAGACAGAUGUGAAAUCCCCGGGCUCAACCUGGGAACUGCAUUUGUGACUGGCAAGCUAGAGUGUGGCAGAGGGGGGUGGAAUUCCGCGUGUAGCAGUGAAAUGCGUAGAUAUGCGGAGGAACACCGAUGGCGAAGGCAGCCCCCUGGGCCAACACUGACGCUCAUGCACGAAAGCGUGGGGAGCAAACAGGAUUAGAUACCCCAGUAGUCCCUGUCUCUUAUAC
rnacentral:rRNA from 1 species